rnacentral:rRNA from 1 species
UACAGAGGGGGCAAGCGUUAAUCGGAAUUACUGGGCGUAAAGCGCGCGUAGGCCGUCGGGCAAGUCGGAUGUGAAAUCCCCGGGCUUAACCUGGGAAUUGCAUUCGAUACUGCUUGACUAGAGUGUGGAAGAGGGAAGCGGAAUUUCCGGUGUAGCGGUGAAAUGCGUAGAGAUCGGAAGGAACACCAGUGGCGAAGGCGGCUUCCUGGUCCAACACUGACGAUGAGGCGCGAAAGAGUGGGGAGCGAACAGG